rnacentral:rRNA from 1 species
AUUCCGGUUGAUCCUGCCGGAGGCCAUUGCUAUCGGAGUCCGAUUUAGCCACGCUAGUCGUGCGAGUUCAGACUCGCGGCACCGAGCUCAGUAACACGUGGCCAAACUACCCUACAGAGACGGAUACCCUCGGGAAACUGAGGUUAACCCGUCAUACCGAUCUCAGGCUUGAAUCGCAGAGAUCACAAAAUGCCCCGGCGCUGUAGGAUGUGGCUGCGGUUGAUUAGGUAGACGGUGGGGUAACGGCCCACCGUGCCCAUAAUCAGUACAGGUUGUGAGAGCAAGAACCUGGAGACGGAAUCUGAGACAAGAUUCCGGGCCCUACGGGGCGCAGCAGGCGCGAAACCUUUACACUGCACGCACGUGCGAUAAGGGGACUCCGAGUGCGAGGGCAUAUCGUCCUCGCUUUCGUGUACCGUAGGGUGGUACACCAACAAGGGCUGGGCAAGACCGGUGCCAGCCGCCGCGGUAAUACCGGCAGCCCGAGUGAUGGCCGAUCUUAUUGGGCCUAAAGCG